ACAUCAAUCUUUAUGAAUAUAAUUUUUUCUCAAACCAAAUGGAGCUUAAGCCCUUUUUUAACUCCGCCAAUGCAACUUCUUGCAUUGCCGGUCCCAAGCCCGGGUAAAGGAGGAGGGAAAAGGGCAUCAAGGUCACUUGACAUAGUCGGCAUGGCCCACCCUCUGUUUGGUUGUAAGUAAAGUUGAUCUAUGUACUUUCAUAUGACAUGAUGUUUUAGAGGUCAGGCCAAUUAUCUGUCCUCUCCCAUUAACUUUUUCUUCUCUUUGAUUCUAGGCACCUAUUUUUACCGGCGGCCAUACUCCAUUUUCUUGUAGUGAUUCCCAUACAUGUAUGAUUUAUCAGUGAGGAAGAAGCAAAGAUGAAGAUCUAUAAUGUUUCU